rnacentral:lncRNA from 1 species
CAGGAGCAAUGAAUUUGUGAAUUAUUUCUUCUACUCUCCCCCAUACUCUCAGGUAUUAAUGUAAAAUAAAAAGUUUUAUUGAAUGAACAGUAACUCCAAAAAACUAUAUCAUAUAUGUGAGAAAUGAGGAAGGUUUUUUCAGAAGCCUUCACAAAAUAAUUACACUUGGUACAAUAUAAUACUGAUUUGUAUUUUUAUGCAUAAAAUAGAAAAAACUAAUUUAUCCAUUCAUAUGGAUAUGUUUCUGAGGCAAAGUAGGGCAACACUGUGUUAUUUUUAAAAUGUAUUUCCUCACUGUUUUCUAAUGUUGUUUUUGGAAAUACAAAGCAGAUGAUGUUGUUCUAGUCCAGGACGUAUUCAGAUAAGGUUUGUUCAGUGAAUUCUUUUGCAAAUAGCUGUGCCAAAAUUAAUGGAGCCUCAUGAGAAUAGCUGCAGCUGCCCAUCCAAAAAGCUUUUGCAGGUUUAUGAGGGAUGUUCCUAAUUUCAAGUAGUCAAAGCUAUGAACUAUUUGCUAAGCAAGGUAGCACAGAGAUACGAAAUUCAGUAACGUUUCUUGUUUGAGAGCCAAGAUGUUGAGUUUCUAAGUACAGAAGACUGUACUGAAGGAACUUGGAAAAUACAGUGGCCUUGUGACAUGACUUGGUUUGGUUGUGCAGAACUGAGCACCUUUUUAAAAUACUGUUUUCUAUUAGUGUCAGUCCAAGAGACAGUAGAGUCAUUACCACUCGUGUAGUAUCUCUCAUCUGCUAUUGUAUCUAUGUAUGAAGAGAGAUUACCAGCAUAUAUAUAUAUAUAUUAAGAAAUAGAUUUAAGGUGAGAAGUUAGGAUAUGUAGGGGAACACUGACUUUCAUUAACUCUGUGGAUUUUCUGUUCAAUUUGUUUCUAUUUUUUUCCCAAAAAGGUUAAUGUCUUUACAUCAUUCCUGUAAUACAUCUGCAUGUUGAUCCAGCCAGACUAAUCAGAGUGGCCAGGCAUCCAGACUCAGCAAGGAUGGAGCAAGGUUGCUUCCAGCAGGCUGGUGGCACUUGGGCAACUGCCUGACUGGCAGAUUCUUCCUUCUGGAGCCUGUGGAUCAUGGCUGAUCCUUUGGGGAGGUCUAAUGUAGAAAACACCAGCUCUUUCCUAAAAGCGUGACCCAGAGGUGUGUGUGCUGGGCUGCUUCCACAGUGUGCUGUAGUAUUGUGCUUUGCUUGUGACUAAAUCUGGAGUUAGGGGCUAGCUCCUUUCCUGUUGUGGAGCUAAGCCUGCAUAUAUUUGUUACCCAGUUUAGCUGCGACUGGGGGAGCUAGAGCAAUAGAAACUUUUUCCCCUCUCCAGUCCCAAAGGGUGAUGCCUUGACUUCAAAGCCCUGCGUAGCGAGGGACAUUGAUUGUGCUCUCUUCGGCAGCACGUAUGCUAAAAUUGGAACGAUAAAGAGAAGAUUAGCAUGGCCCCUGCGCAAGGAUGACACGCAAAUUCGUGAAGCGUUCCAUAUUUUUCCUCGCCCCGCUCCCGGAGGGAUGGGGAGGAGAAUCAGAAGAAUGUAACUCCCACGGGUUGAGAUAAGAACAGUCCAGUAUCUAAGGUAUAAUACAAAACCACUACUGCUACCACCAAUGAUAAUAACAAUAAGGGAAAUAACAAGGGGAGAGGAUACAAUUGCUCACCACCUGCCGACCGAUACCCAGCCCGACCUGAGCAGUGAUCUCGGCCAUGUGAUAACAGUGCUUUGGCCAUCUGAAGUUCUUGGUGAUGCAAAGAUGAGCCCAGAUUCACAUCCCAUUGCAUGGGGCCACUGCCAGUGUGCACAGUUCUGUGGCAGGGUAGCUGCCAUGCAUAGCAGGAGUUAAGCAGAAGUGCUGGCAGGGAGUCUGGCAGGUGCAGAGCAUCUGACCCAGAAUUACUCAGCUACUUCCUGGGGGGGGACUUUCCUUUCAGAUUGUAACUUGGAAGUUUUUAGAAGUGCUUUUUGAACUUUGAGCAGUUCAUUCAUGAACAGGAAGCAGUGUGGUUAAGUGAGUGAGUACUGAUGUGUCAUUUCACAUAUCUGUGUUGCUUUUUUCUGUAACCAUUUCCAUGAAAUUGUUUUGUUUUUCUGGGAAGUUCAGUCAUAGGUGAUAAAUGAAUGUGCAUCAUUCAGUACAACAUAGUUGUAGGUAGGAUAGAGAUUGCUAAAACUAGUGAUGCUGUUUAUACAGUUUUAAAAUUGCACUACCAGCUGCACUAUAACCAGUGUGACUUGGCACCUAUGCCAUGGUUUUUUACCCUCAAACCUCUUCAAUAGCUGUUAGCUCAUGCUGCACAGUCCUUCCUACUGGUUAGGCCAUUCCUAGCGUCGCUGUGCAUGUAAGGUGCCUUUUGUCAGAUGUAAUUGUCAGCCCGGCGGGUGGCCAGCAGACUUGCAGUGUUCCCUUGGUGGUCCAAAAGUCUGCUUGACCUCUUUGUGCGCCGAGUUGAGGGCUUGGGCACACGAGGUGAGGGAACAGCUCAACUAAUAGUAAUAAAAAUACAAGCCCUUUCCACCAUGGCGGGCAGAGCUGCUUUAACUGAACCAGUAGCAUUUCCCAGGUCAUGAAAAUGGUCACUGCCAUGUGAUUCAGAAAAAGCUCUUUCUCUUUCCAUCCAUUCCUAAAGCAACAAGCCACUUGUUCAUCACUCUAAUGGCUAGAAAAUAAUGUAUUUUUAAAAAAGUUUGCUGCCAUAGUGACUAAAAAGUAGCUGUGUGUUUUUUGUUAGGACUUGCUCAUCUAGUUGUACCAUACAGGGGUCUUGAUUGUGAUCGCAGUUGGACUAAAACAAACAGUAAUAUUCCAGUUUGUUUCCAGAAAAAUAGGCUAUUUUGUCUUUUCUUUUGCUAUAGCCUUGUCACUUUACCAAGAAGGCAACACAGGUUUUUGUUGGCAGGUUGGCUUUGAUACAAUGUAUUGUAUGUUGAAGUACUGUAAGACAAAUGGGGUGUUAAAUAAAAAUUUGUUUCACUUAAGAAAAUAAAAA